AUUGAACGCUGGCGGCAGGCUUAACACAUGCAAGUCGAGCGAGUGGCGGACGGGUGAGUAAUGUCUGGGAAACUGCCCGAUGGAGGGGGAUAACUACUGGAAAAGGUAGCUAAUACCGCAUACCAUCAGAUGUGCCGAGAUGGGAUUAGCUAGUAGGUGGGGUAAUGGCUCACCUAGGCGACGCUCCGUAGCUGGUCUGAGAGGAUGACCAGCCACACUGGGACUGAGACACGGUCCAGACUCCUACGGGAGGCAGCAGUGGGGAAUAUUGCACAAUGGGCGCAAGCCUGAUGCAGCCAUGCCGCGUGUGUGAAGAAGGCCUUCGGGUUGUAAAGCACUUUCAGCGGAGAGGCGUUACCUGCAGAAGAAGCACCGGCUAACUCCGUGCCAGCAGCCGCGGUAAUAC
rnacentral:rRNA from 1 species